AACGAACGCUGGCGGCAUGCCUAACACAUGCAAGUCGAACGAGACCUUCGGGUCUAGUGGCGCACGGGUGCGUAACGCGUGGGAACCUGCCCUUAGGUUCGGAAUAACUCAGAGAAAUUUGAGCUAAUACCGGAUAAUGUCUUCGGACCAAAGAUUUAUCGCCCUUGGAUGGGCCCGCGUAGGAUUAGCUUGUUGGUGGGGUAAUGGCCUACCAAGGCGACGAUCCUUAGCUGGUCUGAGAGGAUGAUCAGCCACACUGGGACUGAGAAACGGCCCAGACUCCUACGGGAGGCAGGAGUGGGGAAUAUUGGAAAAUGGGCGAAAGCCUGAUCCAGCCAUGCCGGGUGAGUGAUGAAGGCCUUAGGGUUGUAAAGCUCUUUUACCAGGGAUGAUAAUGACAGUACCUGGAGAAUAAGCUCCGGCUAACUCCGUG
rnacentral:rRNA from 1 species